rnacentral:rRNA from 1 species
GAUGAACGCUGGCGGCGUGCCUAAUACAUGCAAGUCGAGCGAACAGACGAGGAGCUUGCUCCUCUGACGUUAGCGGCGGACGGGUGAGUAACACGUGGAUAACCUACCUAUAAGACUGGGAUAACUUCGGGAAACCGGAGCUAGUACCGGAUAAUAUAUUGAACCGCAUGGUUCAAUAGUGAAAGACGGUUUUGCUGUCACUUAUAGAUGGAUCCGCGCCGCAUUAGCUAGUUGGUAAGGUAACGGCUUACCAAGGCGACGAUGCGUAGCCGACGUGAGAGGGUGAGCGGCCACACUGGAACUGAGACACGGUCCAGACUCCGACGGGAGGCAGCAGUAGGGAAUCUUCCGCAAGGGGCGAAAGCCUGACGGAGCAACGCCGCGUGAGUGAUGAAGGUCUUCGGAUCGUAAAACUCUGUUAUUAGGGAAGAACAAAUGUGUAAGUAACUAUGCACGUCUUGACGGUACCUAAUCAGAAAGCCACGGCUAACUACGUG